CCCAGCAGAGGCCUCGCGAGCGCACGAGUGGCCGGACGGAGGGAGGGCCGCGGAGGGCCAGCGGGCUGCAGCGCGGCACCGUUAGUCAAGGCGGCCCAGGCCAAUAAGCGGCGGACUGCGGAGGCGUCCCGGACAGCAGCAACAGACUUGGGCUGAGAUUACCGGGCGGGCUGGCGCGUAGAGACGCGGGAAGAAAGGGCUGGGCGGGGGUCGCGGCGCGCUGCCAGCGAAGCCAACCCAAGGGGCCGCCGCCGCCGCCCAGCGCAUUCCGGGACCGUCAGCACCCGCGGCGCCGCCACCACGAUGGGCAACACAGCCGCCACCAAGAAGGGUAGCGAGCAGGAGAGCGUGAAAGAGUUCUUGGCAAAAGCGAAAGAGGAUUUUCAAAAAAUGGGAAAACCCUGUUCAGGGAGAACUGGAAUCACUGUGCCAUGAAAAUUCUGGACAAACAGAAGGUGCGGUUCUCGUCACACCAGCUCUGACCUGAAGGAUCUGCUACGGAACCUCCUGCAGGUGGACCUCACCAAACGUUCUGAAAACCUCAAGAAUGGGGUCAACGAUAUCAAGAACCACAAGUGGUUUGCCACAACUGAUUGGAUCGCCAUCUACCAGAGAAAGGUGGAAGCUCCUUUUGUACCAAAGUUUAAAGGCCCUGGGGACACAAGUAACUUUGACGACUAUGAGGAAGAAGAGAUCGAAAUCUCCAACAGUGAGAAGUGUGGCAAGGAGUUUUCUGAGUUUUAGGAGUAUACCAGUGCCCUG